ACCUCUGUGUGUUUUGACUUGAGACAGACAGUCCCUGUUUCCAUCCAAACCUCUGUGUGUUUUGACUUGAGACAGGCAGAGAAUGAAGACAGGCCUCAGCGUUGGAGGAAGAAGCUGACCCAGAGCAGAGAGACUGGGCCUGGGGGUCAGAAUCACCCUGGGAGUGCUGCUAGUGACCCAGACAGCGUCAGUCGCCAGGCUCUGCUAGAUCAGCGCCAUCUAGAGGCGUACAGAAACAUGCACCGUCUCAGAGACAUCCUGUACCGUCGAUACUCUGCCAUGCUCAGAGAUAAGAUACACACACAGAGACAGGAGAUACAACGCCGUGCUGCGGCAGCUGGAGUCACCGAGGAUAAACACAUACCGAAACUGAGGAAGCUGACCUGUUCUACUCUCUCCCAUGACAACACAUACCUGAGGUCUCUUCCUCAAACCAGCUACUACCUGAUCUUGGACCUUCAGAACCAGUUGUCUCGGCAUGGUUGUCUGAAGACCCUCCAGGACCAAGAGGACUUCUGUUUUAUGGUUAACCACCACCACCACCACAACCGUGGUCCAGUCCAGCUGCAGAGAACACUACAGGAGAUCAGGAAGAGGAUGAUUGGCAGCCGCUCCGCACCUGAUGUGAUGUCAGCGGGAUGGGGUUGGAGUCAGCAGGAGAUGUCAGUACAGACCCCUAGAAUUCACGUCACCACAGAGGCAAGACACCUGGACCGGGUGAGUCAUCGCUGCUCAAUUAAGUCGACCUGAAUGUCCCCAAACUCAAUUCUGUUUUCAAUUCAGGAUGUCCUCAUGAAGACAAGGCUGGGCAGGAGAUGUGAGGCGUACAGAGAAUUUAAACAUCCUAUUUACAGGGCCAAUAGUAACAACUUCUAAAGAUAUACAGUGCCUUGCGAAAGUAUUCGGCCCCCUUGAACUUUGCGACCUUUUGCCACAUUUCAGGCCUCAAACAUAAAGAUAUAAAACUGUAUUUUUUUGUGAAGAAUCAACAACAAGUGGGACACAAUCAUGAAGUGGAACGACAUUUAUUGGAUAUUUCAAACUUUUUUAACAAAUCAAAAACUGAAAAAUUGGGCGUGCAAAAUUAUUCAGCCCCCUUAAGUUAAUACUUUGUAGCGCCACCUUUUGCUGCGAUUACAGCUGUAAGUCGCUUGGGGUAUGUCUCUAUCAGCUUUGCAAAACAGCUCGAGCUCAGUGAGGUUGGAUGGAGAGCAUUUGUGAACAGCAGUUUUCAGUUCUUUCCACAGAUUCUCGAUUGGAUUCAGGUCUGGACUUUGACUUGGCUAUUCUAACACCUGGAUAUGUUUAUUUUUGAACCAUUUCAUUGUAGAUUUUGCUUUAUGUUUUGGAUCAUUGUCUUGUUGGAAGACAAAUCUCCGUCCCAGUCUCAGGUCUUUUGCAGACUCCAUCAGAUUUUUUUCCAGAAUGGUCCUGUAUUUGGCUCCAUCCAUCUUCCCAUCAAUUUUAACCAUCUUCCCUGUCCCUGCUGAAGAAAAGCAGGCCAUAAAAAAAUGAUGCUGCCACCACCAUGUUUGACAGUGGGGAUGGUGUGUUCAGGGUGAUGAGCUGUGUUGCUUUUACGCCAAACAUAACGUUUUGCAUUGUUGCCAAAAAGUUCAAUUUUGGUUUCAUCUGACCAGAGCACCUUCUUCCACAUGUUUGGUGUGGCUCGUGGCAAACUUUAAACAACACUUUUUAUGGAUAUCUUUAAGAAAUGGCUUUCUUCUUGCCACUCUUCCAUAAAGGCCAGAUUUGUGCAAUAUACGACUGAUUGUUGUCCUAUGGACAGAGUCUCCCACCUCAGCUGUAGAUCUCUGCAGUUCAUCCAGAGUGAUCAUGGGCCUCUUGGCUGCAUCUCUGAUCAGUCUUCUUGUCACGGUUUUCUGUAUGUGAAGGAGAGUCGGACCAAAAUGCGGCGUGUAGAUUACGAUCCAUGUUUAUUGACUAUAGCAACACGAAUCUAAAUACAAACAGUGCAAAAUAAUGAACGUAAUGAAAACCGAAACAGCCUAAACUGGUGCAAACUAACACUAAGGACAGGAACAAUCACCCACAAACACACAGUGAAACCCAGGCUACCUAAAUAUGGUUCCCAAUCAGAGACAAUGACGAACACCUGCCUCUGACUGAGAACCAUAUCAGGCUGAACAUAGAAAUAGACAAACAAGACAUGAAACAUAGAAUACCCACUCAGAUCACACCCUGACCAAUAAAAACAUAGAAAAUACAAAAUAAACUAUGGUCAGGGCGUGACAGUACCCCCCCCCCCAAGGUGCGGACUCCGGCCGCAAAACCUGAACCUAUAGGGGAGGGUCUGGGUGGGCAUCUGUCCGCGGUGGCGGCUCUGGCGCUGGACGUGGACCCCACUCCAUGACAGUUUUAAUCCCCCUCCUAAACGUCCCUAAAUAGGUUACCCACCACAAUGAUAACAUGGGACAGAGGGACAGCUCGGGACAGAGGUAACUCGGGACAGAUGGGUAGCUCAGCACUGAGAGGAAGCUCAGCACUGAGAAGAAGCUCAGCACUGAGAGGAAGCCCAGGCAGGUAGUAGAAACUACCAGAACCUGGCUGGCUGGCGGUUUCAGCAGAUCCUGGUCGACUAGCAGAUCUGGAAGAAUCUGGUCGACUGGCGGAUCUGGGAGAAUCUGGUCGACUGGCGGAUCUGGGAGAAUCUGGUCGACUGGCGGAUCUGGGAGAAUCUGGUCGACUGGCGGAUCUGGGAGAAUCUGGUCGACUGGCGGAUCUGGGAGAGUCUGGACGACUGGCGGAUCUGGGAGAGUCUGGACGACUGGCAGAUCUGAGAGAGUCUGGACGACUGGCAGAUCUGGAAGAGUCUGGACGACUGGCAGAUCUGGAAGAGUCUGGUCGACUGGCAGAUCUGGUAAGAGUCUGGUCGACUGGCAGAUCUGGAAAAGUCUGAUCGACUGGCAGAUCUGGAAUAGUCUUGACGACCGGCAGAUCUGGAAUAG
ensembl:lncRNA